CAGCCGCCGCGGUAAUACGUAGGGGGCGAGCGUUGUCCGGAAUUAUUGGGCGUAAAGCGCGCGCAGGCGGUCCUUUAAGUCUGAUGUGAAAGCCCACGGCUCAACCGUGGAGGGUCAUUGGAAACUGGGGGACUUGAGUGCAGGAGAGGAGAGCGGAAUUCCACGUGUAGCGGUGAAAUGCGUAGAGAUGUGGAGGAACACCAGUGGCGAAGGCGGCUCUCUGGCCUGUAACUGACGCUGAGGCGCGAAAGGGUGGGGAGCAAACAGUAUUAGAUACCCUGGUAGUCCACGCCGUAAACGAUGAGUGCUAAGUGUUAGAGGGGUCACACCCUUUAGUGCUGGAGCUAACGCGAUAAGCACUCCGCCUGGGGAGUACGGCCGCAAGGCUGAAACUUAAAGGAAUUGGCGGG
rnacentral:rRNA from 1 species